rnacentral:rRNA from 1 species
GCAUAUCAAUAAGCGGAGGAAAAGAAACCAACAGGGAUUGCCCUUAGUAACGGCGAAGUGAAGCGGCAACAGCUCAAAUUUGAAAUCUGGCUCUUUCAGGGUCCGAGUUGUAAUUUGCAGAGGGCGCUUUGGCUUUGGCAGCGGUCCAAGUUUCCUUGGAACAGGACGUCACAGAGGGUGAGAAUCCCGUACGUGGUCGCUAGCUAUUGCCGUGUAAAGCCCCUUCGACGAGUCGAGUUGUUUGGGAAUGCAGCUCUAAAUGGGAGGUAAAUUUCUUCUAAAGCUAAAUACUGGCCAGAGACCGAUAGCGCACAAGUAGAGUGAUCGAAAGAUGAAAAGCACUUUGGAAAGAGAGUCAAACAGCACGUGAAAUUGUUGAAAGGGAAGCGCUUGCAGCCAGACUUGCUUGCAGUUGCUCAUCCGGGCUUUUGCCCGGUGCACUCUUCUGCAGGCAGGCCAGCAUCAGUUUGGGCGGUGGGAUAAAGGUCUCUGUCACGUACCUCUCUUCGGGGAGGCCUUAUAGGGGAGACGACAUACCACCAGCCUGGACUGAGGUCCGCGCAUUCGCUAGGAUGCUGGCGUAAUGGCUGUAAGCGGCCCGUCUUGAAACACGGACCAAGGAGUCUAACAUCUAUGCGAGUGUUUGGGUGUCAAGCCCGAACGCGUAAUGAAAGUGAACGGAGGUGGGAACCCGCAAGGGUGCACCAUCGACCGAUCCUGAUGUCUUCGGAAGGAUUUGAGUAAGAGCAUGGCUGUUGGGACCCGAAAGAUGGUGAACUAUGCUUGAAUAGGGUGAAGCCAGAGGAAACUCUGGUGGAGGCUCGCAGCGGUUUCUGACGUGCAAAUCGAUUCGUCAAAUUUGGGCAUAGGGGGCGAAAGACUAAUCGAACUAUCUAGUAGCUGGUUCCUGCCGA